rnacentral:rRNA from 1 species
UACGUAGGUGGCAAGCGUUGUCCGGAAUUAUUGGGCGUAAAGCGCGCGCAGGCGGUCCUUUAAGUCUGAUGUGAAAUCCCCGGGCUCAACCUGGGAACUGCAUUUGUGACUGUAGAGCUGGAGUACGGGCAGAGGGGGAUGGAAUUCCGGCGGUGUAGCAGUGAAAUGCGUAGAUAAUGCGGAGGAACACCGAUGGCGAAGGCAAUCCCCUGGGCCUGUACUGACGCUCCAUGCACGAAAGCGUGGGGGAGCAAAAGGGAUUAAGAAACCCUUGGUAG